CCCAGCUUCGAGAGCCUUCCAGCUGAGACAAAACCACGAAACCGAAACAGCCAACCCUAGAAUCGCUCGUUUCCUGUCCCUCCUCCUGUGUGCGGCGCCGCCGCUGCGCACAGGCCACAUCUCCUCGCCCUCCUCCACAUCUCCGGCCAAAGCGCUCACUUCUCCGGCCCUCCUCCACAUCUCCUCGCCUCCACCCCAUCCACUUCCUGUCCAAGACUAUGGCAACGGAGCUCGGCGGUUGCGGCCCUUCUCCAAGACUGCAGCGUGGUGCUCGGCGGCUGCGGCAACGGAGCUGAUGGAGCGCGAGCCGACCAGUUCAACGGAGGCGGUAGCACGGGGCAGCGGCAGCAGCAUGGAGGGCGUCCGCUUGACUGGAAAGAGAAAGUAUUUGUUGAUAGUGAGAGUGAGGAUAAUGAUGGGGUGAGUGAGGAUGGGGAAGAUGCUCCAUCCAUGCAUGAUCAGCAAGAGGCGCAAAUGCAAGUGGAAAAAGAGACACAAAUUCAAGUGGAAAAGGACGCACCACCAACAGAUGGCAAUUUGGAGACCCGUAGAUCUGUACGGCUUGUCAAGAAGAAGACCAAGGGCGUCAACAGCCUAUACCCGCUGCUUAGAAAUCUGCUGGCAAAUAUCUUCUUUCUAGUGUUUUAUGAUUCAUGAUAAUUGCUUAGAAAAUUUUAGUUACUUGGAGCUGCUAGUUUCUUAGAUGUAUAAACUUUCUAUCCAUGCCUAGCCUUCGUUGUCAUGUUAAGCAAUGUAUUUAUGUUGUCCUGAAAUGUUACCACUUGACUAUUGUUGCACUAGACACCUCCCUGUUAGUCCAUUUUAUUUCAUUAUGCACAAAGUGGAAGAAGAAAAUUCUGAUGUUGAACUACAUCUAUCCUGAUCCUUUCUUUGUUUUCUCUAUAUGAACUAGAAAUGCCACAUAAAGAACUAAGGAUAUCAAGAAGCUUUUGGAUGUAUGCAAGCUUGGAGCUGCUGUUUUAUAGAAAUGACACUUGACGAAUAACCAAGGAUAUCAAGAAGCUUUUGGAUGUAGGCAAGCUUGGAGCUGCUGUUUCAAUGUCAUGCUUUGAUAGUUGUCUUUUGGAGCUGUUGUUUCUAUGUGUAAUACUUUAAGUCUGUUGGCUGUACCGGACUAUUUAAACUCUGAACUAUGUUGUGAUGGUUGAACUGAUGUUGGACUGUUAAGGGUUAUGUUGGAGGCCACUUUAUAACUAAUGUGUGCCUGUUAUGUUGGACAGAUGCAGUUUUAUUAAUCCCUAG
rnacentral:rRNA from 1 species